GACGAACCGUGCGAACGUUGUUCGGAAUCACUGGGCUUAAAGGGCGCGUAGGCGGGCUGUCCAGUCUGGGGUGAAAUCCCGCGGCUCGACCGUGGAACUGCCUCAGAUACUGACGGCCUCGAGGGAGAUAGGGGCAUGCGGAACUGUAGGUGGAGCGGUGAAAUGCGUUGAUAUCUACAGGAACUCCGGUGGCGAAGGCGGCGUGCUGGAUCUCUUCUGACGCUGAGGCGCGAAAGCUAGGGGAGCAAACGGG
rnacentral:rRNA from 1 species